CCGACCUUAGCUCAGUUGGAAGAGCACAAGACUGUAAUUGGUUGUUUGAAUAAUCUUGGGGUCGCCUGUUCGAACCAGGCAGGUCGGA